rnacentral:rRNA from 1 species
UCAGUAACACGUAGUCAACAUGCCAGGGACGUGGAUAACCUCGGGAAACUGAGGAUAAACCGCGAUAAGUCACUACUUCUGGAAUGGGUAAUGACUCAAACCUAUAUGGCCCCUGGAUUGGACUGCGGCCGAUCAGGCUGUUGGUGAGGUAAUGGCCCACCAAACCUGUAACCGGUACGGGCUCUGAGAGGAGGAGCCCGGAGAUGGGCACUGAGACAAGGGCCCAGGCCCUAUGGGGCGCAGCAGGCGCGAAAACCUCUGCAAUAGGCGAAAGCUUGACAGGGUUACUCUGAGUGAUUUCCGUUUAAGGAGAUCUUUUGGCACCUCUAAAACAUGGUGCAGAAUAAGGGGUGGGCAAAGUCUGGUGCCAGC